AUCACUUCUCGGCCUUUUGGCUAAGAUCGAAUAUAGUAUCUGUUCUGGUCAGCUUAAUAUUCUUCCCACCUUAGCCACCAAAUGAGCUCAUAGUUCAUUGUCAAAUAUAGACUUUGAGUCUAUCUGAAUCACAUAAGGAGUCUUUGUGUGUGUGUGUGCGUGUGUGCUUUUGGUUUUUAAUGCAGCAUUCCAAGAUUAAUAGAGGAGAUUGU
rnacentral:snRNA from 1 species